AUAAAAACAGCAUUCUCUUGGUAAUCUGGCAGUUGGACCCAGAGUUAGUUACAAGUUUUACACGUGUCGGUAUGCUGCUGAUAAUAAUGUUAUUGUGCAAAGAUGUAGGAACGUGGUGUGGACAGCUGGGGCUUGAAGUGAUUGACUUCACGAGAUGUGAACCACAACUAGCUAGCGUCAUGGCAAUGACGAAGGACUGGAUGGUGUAGGAAUCUGAAGUAACCAUGGAAGAUCCUGUUAUCGUUGCCGAUGUGAACCUACCUUUGAUGCAGGACAGAUUCGCAAGCUACCUACGUUGGAUGUGACUUUUGUUUAGUUAACAACUGUUGACUGUUCGGACUUUGAAAACUGAUUUAAUUCAAAUUUGUCAAAGUGAUUUGAUCAGUUUGUUUUAUAAAGCAGAAUCGCGAUUCAUUGAUUUAGUGUGUAAACUGAAUACAUUUUAGAAAUUAUAAAUUUUAUUUUACUA